GACGAACGCUGGCGGCGUGCUUAACACAUGCAAGUCGAACGGAAAGGCCCUGCUUUUGUGGGGUGCUCGAGUGGCGAACGGGUGAGUAACACGUGAGUAACCUGCCCUUGACUUUGUGAUAACUUCAGGAAACUGGGACUAAUACCGGAUAGGAGCUCCUGCUGCAUGGUGGGGGUUGGAAAGUUUCGGCGGUUGGGGAUGGACUCGCGGCUUAUCAGCUUGUUGGUGGGGUAGUGGCUUACCAAGGCUUUGACGGGUAGCCGGCCUGAGAGGGUGACCGGCCACAUUAGGACUGAGAUACGGCCCAGACUCCUACGGGAGGCAGCAGUGGGGAAUAUUGCACAAUGGGCGGAAGCAUGAUGCAGCAACGCCGCGUGCGGGAUGACGGCCUUCGGGUUGUAAACCGCUUUCGCCUGUGACGAAGCGUGAGUGACGGUAAUGGGUAAAGAAGCACCGGCUAACUACGUG
rnacentral:rRNA from 1 species